rnacentral:lncRNA from 1 species
CCAUAUUGGGCUAUUCCAUUUAAUAUCCGUACCCCCCCUGUCGAGGAUACCUGGAAUUCUUCAGGGGUAGAGUGUUUUGAGCUUGGAAUUCUUCAGGGGUAAAGGAUUUUGAGCUUGGAAUUCUUCAGGGGUAAAGGAUUUUGAGCUUGGAAUUCUUCAGGGGUAAAGCAUUUUGAGUUUGGAAUUCUUCAGGGGUAGAGUAUUUUGAGCUUGGAAUUCUUCAGGGGUAAAUGAUUUUGAGCUUGGAAUUCUUCAGGGGUAAAGGAUUUUGAGUUUGGAAUUCUUCAGGGGUAAAGGAUUUUGAGCUUGGAAUUCUUCAGGGGUAAAGGAUUUUGAGUUUGGAAUUCUUCAGGGGUAAUGGAUUUUGAGCUUGGAAUUCUUCAGGGGUAAAGGAUUUUGAGUUUGGAAUUCUUCAGGGGUACAGUGUUUUGAGUUUGGAAUUCUUAAGGGGUAAAGGAUUUUGAGUUUGGAAUUCUUCAGGGGUACAGUGUUUUGAGCUUGGAAUUCUUCAGGGGUAAAGGAUUUUGAGUUUGGAAUUCUUCAGGGGUACAGUGUUUUGAGCUUGGAAUUCUUCAGGGGUAAAGGAUUUUGAGUUUGGAAUUCUUCAGGGGUACAGUGUUUUGAGCUUGGAAUUCUUCAGGGGUAAAGGAUUUUGAGUUUGGAAUUCUUCAGGGGUACAGUGUUUUGAGCUUGGAAUUCUUAAGGGGUAAAGGAUUUUGAGCUUGGAAUUCUUCAGGGGUACAGUGUUUUGAGCUUGGAAUUCUUCAGGGGUACAGUGUUUUGAGCUUGGAAUUCUUCAGGGGUAAAGGAUUUUGAGUUUGGAAUUCUUCAGGGGUACAGUGUUUUGAGUUUGGAAUUCUUCAGGGAUGAAAAGGCUUGAGAUUCUUUAGGGUACCCCAAUUAUUAAUGUGAGUGGAAUUCUUCAGGGGUACUAUUAAAGUUGAUGUGGAAUUCCUAAUGGUCUUCAAAUUUUGAUUUUGGAAUUUUUGCAAGGUAGCUGAUAAUACCCUGGGUUCAAGAGCCUUCAGAAAGUUUCCUAGCUAGGGGAACCUGAAAACUUCUGACACCCAGAGUAACCCCAUAAAUGACACAUGUGGAAUUCCUUAGGGGGUUAGCAAAAAUUGGUUUGAAAUUUCUUUUUUUAUUAACUAACUGCAUUCUUAAGGCCGUUUUCCAUUAACGUUCGCUAAAAAUGUUCUGCGUGAUUUAAGGUGGCUUAGUUGAAAACAAUGUAGUUGUGAAAGGACAAAGAGAAAUUCCGCUCCACGUGGAAAAUUCCGCCUAGUGGAAAACAAGCUUUAAAGCUCGAGUAAUACGAGCAACAAAAUUGCUGCAACUUGCAACAAAAUCUGAUUUCUACGCAUGUUAAUUGAAAAUACUUAACAUGCGUAGAAAUCAGAUUUUGCUGCAAGGUGCAGCAAUUUUGUAGCCCGCAUUACUCCACAUUUACACCCGUUUUUCUUUUUAAAUUACAUGGCACAUGGGGUUAGGCCGGUUAAAAUGCGGAACGAAAGGGGUUAAAAUGCGGAACGGAACGAAUAUGAGGUUAAAACUUAAAACCCAUGUCCGUUCCGUUCUGCAUUUUAACCAUAUAUCCGUCCCACAUUUUAACCCCACCCGUUCCGUAUUUUAAUCCCAUUCGUUCCGCAUCCGUUCCGCUUCCGCACUUUAACCUAUCCCAUGGCACAUGUUUAUGUUACGCAAACUACUAUAAAUAGCAACGUAAACAAAAGACAUUUUAAACCGUAUCUAACACCCCCCCCCCAAAAAAAAUAUUGAGCCAAACUAAGCUAGAUAUUAUCAGAGAAAAAGAAACAACACACCAUCAUUUAAACUUGGAUAAAACAAAAUUUAUGAUUUUUAAACCUAAACCAAAAUUAUUGGAAUUAGAUGUGAAACUACUAUUGAAUGAUAGAGAAAUUGAUCAAGUGAAAAAAAUCGUUUUCUUAGAAAUUAUUUUAGAUGACAAACUUUCUUGGAAAUCUCAUAUUAGUAAUGUGUCAAUGAAGAUUU